UCGUCGAAGGUGGGCCAUAAUGUUUCCCACAUCAUCGACACAAGACGGGAAGAGAUAAUGUUGUGAAUUUAAGAUUUAUGAACUUCAGACAGAGGUGGUUUCUUUCAGAGGUCAACUUCUCUUGAACAUAUCGGCGGCACGACAGUGGAGUUGGCAGUAUUUGACAUCAAUGGAUCAAAGGUCAUGAUGACGAGGCAAUGAGCAGAUGAGAGGUCAAAUAGGAUUACCCAAACACACGGAGGCAAGUGAAAAAUGAGAUGAGAUAUCCCCACCCCGACACGAAAGCAGAGAAGUGCCAUGUUCAAGAGCGACAUACUGCCGACACGACAAUAAUUAUGGUUCCCAAAAUUUUCUUUUUUCCCCCACCAUUUCUGGUGAGUACCCCAAUUAUUUUUAACAAGCUUGAUGGGGAUAGCAUAUGCGUGUGGUAUAAGUUCGACGUUCGGCCGAAUCCAACCUAGUAAUAGUUUAACGAGCCCUAGGGAGGAGAAGCUCGAGUCUCGUCAUAGUGACGAGUCCAAUGUCUUCAGGGUUUAACGAGUCCGACACAGGUAAAACUCGGAGUCUUUUUCAUGUUUAGGGAGUUUGAAAAAGACACAGAAAAGGAAACUCCAGGGAUGUCCUUUUUUGUGAAGUUGUGUCUCUCGAGCCCGAAAAAGUAUAAAAUAAUGCCCGAAAGAACCGCCCGAUCAUUACGACCGAGGAGUACUUUUCAUAAAUAGUGAUUUCGACCUGAAAAAGUAGAAAAGCGAUCAAAACCACGUUGUUUCGUAACCAUUAACGAGUUUGAAACGACAAAAACCCGGUAAUCUUUUAUAUUUUAAUGGUCGAUAAAAGAACUUAAAACGACCGCCCCUUAGUAACGUUUAACGAGCCAAGAGGGAUAACUCGGCAAUAUUUUCCCCUUUAAAAGGUCAGGGAAAGAACUGGUAAAUCCCCUCUACGGACAGAGGCGAUCCCACUAGCCCAACACGGGUCUAGCAACAAUCACACAACGCUAACACGCAGGUUCCUAAUUGCAAAUCAGAGAUCAAUGAUGAUGGUCUACCUGGACUCCAACGCUAGUAGUUGUAGAAGACUCGACUAGGUGCAGCUGGAAGAGCACCGCACGUCUUGCGGUGUCCGGUGCGCCCGCGGCGGCCCUUGAAAAUCUGGAGGACCGAGUACCGUUCAUGCCCGGUCGUACUCAUAACCGCAUCAGGUCUCCAAGGUGAACAGCCUCUGGUCAAUAGAACAAUGUAGGUAAGGAAAGUCGGCAAAACGGAUCCGUAACUUCGGGAAAAGGAUUGGCUCUGAGGGCUGGGCCUAGGGGUCUGCGCCCUCAACUCGUGGGCUGUCGGCAGUCUGCCCGAGCUGCUCUCGCGGCGAGGGCGGGCAGUCGUGUGCCGAUUGGGCUACGGGCGUAGAAUGCCCCCUGCCGGGGGCUUUUCCCUAGGCGUCGAACAGUCGACUCAGAACUGGUACGGACAAGGGGAAUCUGACUGUUUAAUUAAAACAAAUCAUUGUGAUGGUCCCUGCGGAUGUUGACGCAAUGUGAUUUCUGCCCAGUGCUCUAAAUGUCAAAGUGAAUAAAUUAAACCAAGCACGGGUAAACGACGGGAGUAACUAUGACUCUCUUAAGGUAGCCAAAUGCCUCAUCAUCUAAUUAGUGACGCACAUGAAUGGAUUAACGAGAUUCCCACUGUCCCUAUCUACUAUCUAGCGAAACCAUAGCCAAGGGAACGGGCUUGGUAGAAUCAGCGGGGAAAGAAGACCCUGUUGAGCUUGACUCUAGUCCGACUUUGUGAAAUGACUUGAGAGGUGUAGAAUAAGUGGGAGCUGAUUUCGGCGCAAGUGAAAUACCACUACUUUUAAUGUUAUUUUACUUAUUCCGUGGGGCAGAGAGGGGGCACUGCCCCUGUUUUUGGCCUUAAGGCACGUUUCGGCGGGUCGAUCCGGGCGGAAGACAUUGUCAGGUG
rnacentral:rRNA from 1 species